UGGGGAAUAUUGGACAAUGGGCGCAAGCCUGAUCCAGCCAUGCCGCGUGCGGGAAGAAGGCCUUCGGGUUGUAAACCGCUUUUGUCAGGGAAGAAAUCUUCUGAGUUAAUACCUCGGGAGGAUGACGGUACCUGAAGAAUAAGCACCGGCUAACUACGUGCCAGCAGCCGCGGUAAUACGUAGGGUGCAAGCGUUAAUCGGAAUUACUGGGCGUAAAGCGUGCGCAGGCGGUUUUGUAAGACAGAGGUGAAAUCCCCGGGCUCAACCUGGGAACUGCCUUUGUGACUGCAAGGCUUGAGUGCGGCAGAGGGGGGAAUGGAAUUCCGCGUGUAGCAGUGAAAAUGCGUAGAUAUGCGGAGG
rnacentral:rRNA from 1 species